rfam:Cavia porcellus supercont2_2 genomic scaffold, whole genome shotgun sequence.
UCUGAAUUAGCUCAGCGGCGUAAGCACCUGCCUUGCAAGCAGGCAGUCAUGAGUUCAAUCUCCAGUAUACAUAA